CACAACAUAUUUUGACUAUAUUUUUCUUUUCUUUUUUUCAAAAUAAAAAUUUGACCUAAUAUUCACAUUUUUGGACAUCACAGAGUGAUUUCAUUCAUCAUUACUCCACUCUAAAAACACCAAAAGAAAACAUUUUUCACUCUCCUAUCGGCAGGUUAAAAUACACUUCAUAGUCCACAGAAGGUUUGGAUUUUGAGAGAGCCAGAGAAUGAGAGAGACCAGUUCUGAGCCUGUUAAUGUCUCUCCUCCAUUACCCAGCGUAACAUCAAUGAAUCUUUUGAGCAUCGCUAUCUUCAAAAGCCAACCCAGCUUUCUCCCCUCAGACGAGACUGUAAUUAUUCUACAUUUGCAUGAUAAGUGUGUCUGCCUGUGUACGCAUUUACGUAUGUAUGUAUGAGCGCUUAAACGCACAUUAGGUGCAGCCGGGCACGAGUUCCCGUCUUUUAUCUCUGGUGUGAAAGGCGGGAAGAGGCCUUUUUUUUUUUUAACUGUGGAGUCUGGAUCGCUGUCUCCUUGCUCUUCAUCUGAGUGUUCAUCAUUAGCCAGUGUCAGCCGGGUGGCUUUGAAGAGGAGUCAGGGCCUCUCUCGCCAUGCGGAAUAGUUCUGACACUCGGGCUCUUCCUUUCUGCGUGUCUGCGUGUGCUUCCGCUAGCGUUUUUCUAUAUCCCAAUCACGCUGUCCUUCCUGUUUAGUAUUUGUCAAAUGUUUUAAACACUUGCAUGUGAAGUGCAGCAAUAGCACUGCUUUGAAAAGACGCUCUACACCGGUUUAACAUGCCUUGACAUUCGCAGUGAUGCUGCGUGCGCUUUACAAGAGAGGAGUGUCUUUUGUGAAGAGUAGAAACAACCACGGCAUCUUUGGAAUGUUUUAAUAACGCCCCACGCUUCGCCGACCCUGUUGAUGGGAAGAUGCACAGAGAGUAAUGGGAGAAUGCAGGAGAAAACCUAAAUGGGGUAAACGCGCGUACAGCAUCUAUACGACGCCUCACGGGCCGAUGAACGCGUGUACGGAGUCAAGCAGACAGAGGAAGGUUUUUAGAUGUGUACCAUCUCCCAAGGCCUCAUUAGGUCCUGAAUAAGUGCGCGUGCGCCCGGGCGUGACUGCAUACUGACUGCUGGCUCCUCUCGGCGGGCAGCCAAGAGGCCUCGUCCAGCUUAUUGACUGUGCGUGCUGUGCUGCUUCACUCAUAGUCCACAACAAUAUGGAAAUAAUAGUAUAACAUAGACACAGUGACGCAGACUCACAAUCCAAGGCUCCUCUCGAUGUUCAGGUCGUCAGGGGCAACGAUUGUUGAUGAAUGACCCGUUGCCGAGCAUCAUAAUGUGCAUCAUUUGGGAACAUUAUCUCCAACUGGAGGAUGUUUAUUUUGAAUAAUUGAUGAUGUUAUUCAGACAAUGAGCCUUGGCUGGUUAGAAUAGAGGAAAAGAUGUACAAUUGAUCAAAGGGGCCGUCACUCAACUGCUUUCAGACGCGCUUUUACUCAGGAAUGUUUUCGCACAGCUGGAUUCCACCACGUUCUUGAAGCGAAUGAGAAUUUAUCUCGACUCACUGAAAGACUCUGCCGUCUUUAUUAUUAGACUCCUCAUCUUGACCAAAACCACAAACAUUUGUGUGGGGUAUUCUAGUUAUACAGUUGAGAUGAAAUAAGAUAUGUUCAAAAUCAAAGCACCAAGGAGGCAGAAACUGACUGACUAUUUUUCUCUAAUGUGGCUCAACUCAUCACACAUCCAGCCCAGUAUUCCUGGUCAUUCCAUUCGGCCAUUGUCCGAUGAUUCGUUGACCCUCCCCAUGAAUAAACCGAGGGCAUUGUUUUUUUUCUGUUGAGCUACGGCUACGUCCUCACUCCAAACCGUCACGUUUUCUCAUCCGGGCUUUUUGUUCUGAAUGUGAAGCCUCCAAGCUCAAGCUGAGAUUGCAUCUGACGACGUCAUCGGGGUUCUUUUCUCACCUCGAGCUUGACAAAGCUCUUCUGCGGAGCCAGUGACCUGACGGGGGCCGAGUGGGGCGGCUAAACUGACAUUUAGAACCAGCAGGGAACCUUUACAGAGGGGGCUCGAGGAGUGUGUCCCUCCGUGCAAAGGGUUCACUCCACUGGCGUCUGCAGGUUACACAAGACGCACGCGUCAGCGUCGGUAUCGGCAGUCAGCGUUGGGAGGGAUGUGAGCGAGACAUUACAUCAGGUCAAUAGUAAAGAUCCUAGCGGUCCAAAUGAGAGCGCCCCGCCCAUCACGCCAGCGCUGACAGCCUUAAUAACUGCCCUGAUGACAGCAGGGCAGAUUAAUAAAGCAUACUGUAAAUGAUUGCCUCCGUCGUGAAUCCAUCCCGUGGCUAUUUGAGGCUGCUCGUAUUAACUAUUAGGACAGGAGGUCAGAUUGAACACACAUGGAAGUGCGUUGCACGACCCUAUGAGCUGAUUAAUGUCAUUCUCAGGAAUAGAAACAAAUUACGCCGGCAGAUCAACGUCGGGCAUCUGACGAGAGACGGAAAAGAAAGAAAAAAAAUAAUAUUGAACCCGAGAAAUGAAAUAUUUGCACAGUGGAACCGACGUAAUCCCCCCGCUGCAGGUUUGAUAUGAAGCCCGGGCCUCUCAUUAGCUGCAUUUGGACCAGAUUGCAUCGGGUCCACCGAUUCAACUGGGAAAUCCAUCUCUAUAUUGCGUGCCCCCCACCAACCCCGACCCCCCCCAUGGCCACGCUGGGGGCUCAGCCGGUUAGAGAGCGGAUGAUGACAGAGCGGAUUCAGACUUAAUAAAUAAUAGAGCGUUACUGGAGGUAUCACCGAUGAAGAGAGUCUGCC
ensembl:lncRNA